rnacentral:rRNA from 1 species
AUGCACGCUGGCGGCGUGCCUAAUACAUGCAAGUCGAGCGAACGGACGAGAAGCUUGCUUUUCUGAUGUUAGCGGCGGACGGGUGAGUAACACGUGGAUAACCUACCUAUAAGACUGGGAUAACUUCGGGAAACCGGAGCUAAUAUCGGAUAAUAUUUUGAACCGCAUGGUUCAAAAGUGAAAGACGGUCUUGCUGUCACUUAUAGAUGGAUCCGCGCUGCAUUAGCUAGUUGGUAAGGUAACGGCUUACCAAGGCAACGAUGCAUAGCCGACCUGAGAGGGUGAUCGGCCACACUGGAACUGAGACACGGUCCAGACUCCUACGGGAGGCAGCAGUAGGGAAUCUUCCGCAAUGGGCGAAAGCCUGACGGAGCAACGCCGCGUGAGUGAUGAAGGUCUUCGGAUCGUAAAACUCUGUUAUUAGGGAAGAACAUAUGUGUAAGUAACUGUGCACAUCUUGACGGUACCUAAUCAGAAAGCCACGGCUAACUACGUG